GCCCCGAGGAUUGCUGCAGUGGCCACACUCUCCCCUCCCCGCCCGCUCCGUCUGUUCAAUGAAAACCCGCGCAAACGCAAGGUCUUUGCUCGAGCAAACUUGCCGACUAGCGAGGAAGGCGAGCUGCAAAGCCGCUGGAGUUUGAAUUAGGAACCCAGUGAAGUUUGAAAAUAAUCUUUGGAGGGUCGUAUUUAGAAAAGCAGGACAGCUGCAAAUCACAGUUAAAGCUAGAGCAGGUGUCAUGGCCCGGCCCCAGGCUACCUUCUCCUUAACUUACAACGGGCUCAGUCCUAGAUGGAUUGAGCUCCUCUGGACCAGGAUAUUCAGCCCUGCCUGAGACUUUCAGAGCUGUUUUUCCUAUGUUCCAGCACAAAUUCAGCAUGGAGGUACAACUGGGAUGCUGUGGCAAGAAGUCCAUGAUCCUGGGAGGCAGCAGCGAUGAUAUCGGAAUAUGGGGUGCCAGACGUUAUCACCGUGAGCUUGUUAAUAAAUGCCUAAUAUUGAUGAGCCUGGAAGCUGAACAAAGAGGACUAAAACCUGGGCAUUGAGCUGGAGCGGAAGAGAAGUUUUUUUGUUGGUCCUGAGGUCUGUGUCCAUAUUCUGUGUUAUGCAUCAAUCCAAUGUUUAAGACACUUCCUUUCCCAUGGAUUCUCAUUCAUCCACACAGCUUAAAAUGAGUUGUGCUUCUUGUAACUCCUUUUGCCAUUUUCUUAUUUCUGCACAUACGCCUCUGCUUCUAUUUCUCUCAUGAGACCGCUCUUACCACACGUUUUGUUAGGCUCAUCUCUGUUCUGUGUCUCUUACUCUUUGGAAAGCAUCUUGAGUUCACACCCGAACCUUGCUCAUCCUUCACAUCCAAAAAUCCUUAAGAAAUACUCGUGAC
rnacentral:lncRNA from 1 species